rnacentral:piRNA from 1 species
UGUAACAUGACCAUAAAAUACAUGAUGUCUU